ensembl:lncRNA
UUUGGUUUUCUGUCUGGAUUUCAGUAGUAUAAAAGACAAACAUCAGAACUGAUCAAAGUGGACUACAAGAAUUCAUAAUCAAUACUCAACAAGCAUUUUUAAAUCCCGUAUCUCUGAAUGAGAGCAUGCAUCUCAAAGUCUAAAGAAGGAAAACUGGUUCAUGGAAAUAUUUCGUCACAUGGACAAGCAAUUAGAUUAACAUUUGCCAAAGUCAACAAAACAAAUAGAACACCUUCCAAAGCCAUAUAACCACACAAUCAGUAGCAAAGCCAGAGCUGCUUCAAUGGGAAAAUAUAUGUUCAACUGCAAACCGUUUAUAUCAGAGGAUAUUGGACCCCUGUCAAUUUGCAUAUUACCUGCUGAAAUGAACUCAGUAGUCUGCCAGAUCUCGUCUAUUAAAUGAAAUUGUAUUAAGCUAUCUAUAGAGAUACAGGUAAAUGUUACACUCCCUUCCUAUUUGAAGAGUUCGAACAGAAAAUUGAGUUAAGGAGGUAAAACAAGUGUCAGUCAUUGGAGGUAAUCAUAGCUGCUCAUAAAUGUCUAUAUCAGUCUUAGUUCGUUUCAUUUGUGAUGUAGCAGGGCUUAAUCUAAACUUCAGAGAAAGAGGCUAAAUUGCAUUAAUGUUCAUUUGAACAGGCUAAAAGCAUAGACACAGAAAUUUCCUGAAGUUUGUUUCAUAGGCAGCAAAGCCUCUUGUACUUUAUCUACUGCAUGUUCCCCUAGUGUGGAGCAUCAAGCCUCCUAUAACAAUGAUUAUACUGAAAUGGCUGCUGAAAUAGUUACUCUCAUAUAGUGGAAAAAAAGUUAAACUUUAUUGUUAGCAAAACAACAUUAAGACACCUGGCAGCAGUGUAAUAAUUCAGUGAGAAGAAAAAAUGGCCUUGAGAAGAAGACAUGUGAGCCAUAAGACAGAGGAAAGAUGCUUGGGUUGGGCAGAACCAUCCAUGAAGGCCUGACGAGGGUGAGAUUUCAGGACAGCACCUGUUUGCUCCUAAGAGAUGCCAGUAACUUCUCUUGGGCAAGAAAGAAGUUUGGAAAAGGGACCCAGUGUUUGGAAGAGGCAGACACUGCUCUGUGGGAAGUGUAGAGGAGAAGCAGCCUAAGCCUGAACAAAUAAAGCCUUGCUGAACCCAUAUGUGUCAGGAAGCUCUGUAGACUCAGCCAGACUCCUGCCAAAGUGUCCAAUGGAGACAGAUGAGACAACAUCCACAGUUAGGAAUGGGGUAACUCAUAGCUGGGAGGCCUGAGGAAAAGUUCUGCCCUGGGGCUGCUAGAGGUUAGGGACUGCUCUUCUUCUUGAAAACACCAAAAACACUUAUAUAUGUGUACAUAUAUAUCUGCCACCUGAUAUCACCUUGCAAAGGGCAUCCAAAGCAGCUCUUUGUGAGCACUGCAGGAACAGAUGCCAACACAGCAACACAUCCCCAAGCAGAAGUAGCAGGCAGGUACCUGCCUGAGCACUCCUAUUUCUCUAUACCAGUGAAUCCUAGCUGGCACAGUGUAUCUCAAAAUUUUUACCCCAGGUGUUAUAAAUAAAGGUAAAACUGUUUAGAAGUGUUGGAAAUUUGCACGUUUUAUUUUUAUUUUUACUUUUAUUUGUAGCUUGGUAUUUUGUACGUGUGUUUGAUUUUCCUAAUGCCAUUACCUAGUUAUCUUUUUAUUACAAUAUGAAAUUUAUAAAGUAGAUAAAUUUAGAUACUUCUUUUUUCUGAAACCUUCAUGUUGCGCAACAAAGGAGCCAUGACAAGAAGAGGCACACCACGUUAUGCUGAUUUAAUUGCAGCUGAAUUAAAGGUUCAUAGGUGGAAAUGCUUCAGAGUGGCAGAAAACCCCUGAGGAGCACCCUGGAAUGGAGGGCAGGCCCUCCAGAAGGUGCAGAUACUCUGCAAGAGAGAGCAGAGCACCUGGGCUGAGGUGCUUGCAGACAAGCCUGACGUUGAUGAGAUGAGAGGUGCUAAAGGAAAGCAAAGAAGUCAAAAGCAGAGGAAAUGUUAUCUAUAUAUCAUAUUUUCAUUCUGUUAUAAAUGUAGUUUGGGGAUUUGUGGUUUGGGUUUCUUUACAGAUUUACAGGCAUCAUUAGAACUUUCCUUCAUUUCCACUGCCAUAUCUGUCCCCAGGAGGACAGACUGAGAAGUUACUCAUGUUUGCUUCCAUGAGCAAUACAUUACAACAACAACAACAACAAAGUGUAAAACCUCAGCAAAAGGAUAAUGAUUUUAUAUUUGUCAUUUUUUUUCCAGGGCAUCUAACCCAGGUCCAGAUUCCAUCAGCAAUGGAAUAGACUGCAGUUUUUAAUCUCCUCUCCUCAUCCUGUUCUCCUUGCACAAUUUUUGAGCAAGAAGAAAAAUCAUAUUCAACAACAUAAAAUCGUCUCGCUAUUCAUUCAUGUAAUUUGCCUAUUUCUGCCACCCAGCAACUCCCUUCUUUGUACAAAGCAUGACUCGGGACCUUCUGACUCUUAUGGGGUUGUGCUGAACUCAGAAGAAACUCUGGAUGGGAACUGAGAAGCACAUAUUUGAGUCCAUCUGCAGGCAGAGGAGAAUGAACUCUCAUAUUGAGAUGCUGAUUCUUUUUGGUCAGCAGCAAGAUAAGGUUGUGUGAUAUAGGGUUGUGAGGUAUAGGCUGUGAAAAUCAAACAGUACUUAUCCAUCAGAAUCAUCUGAUCACGACAUGCCCCUAUAUAAUGUCUCUUUUAGAGUAAAAUUAAAGCAUCGUAGGGUAAUCUGCUUUUGUUUAAGCUGAGAGUAGAAAAAGAGAAGUAAAUCCUGACAGAGUCUGCUUUCUUUUGAGCUACAUCUGAACUGACUACAGGAUAAUAUGAUAAACAAGAUAAUAAGAUGAAAGAGAGCUUGAGAUGGCCUCUUUUCCAUUCCCAGGUCUCGAAGGAGAAUCAAUUAUUUCUAAACCAUUCUUGGAAAAGGUUUAAAUAAUCUGAUCUUUACCAUAGAUGCCUGGCUAUUCUUCUCUCUGCAUCUAUGGUUUCUAGGUAAUUGUAAGGAUUUCUGAGAAAGUAAGAACAAAGUAAGAAAGUUGUGAUAUAAUGAAGACAGUUCUUAUUUACUUACUUAGAAUUAGACUUAACUUUCAUAAUGAUUUUGGUGAAUUUAUUUAUUAAUUAGUGUGGCUUACUAGGGCCACAUUUGUCUUUGGCUCAUGCUGAAUUGUACCUUUUGAGGGGUUACUCUGUUCUGAGAAAAGUUGUGUUUUUCAGCAAAGUCUACUUCAGAAAGCACCUUCUUUUGAAGAAUCAUUUUUGAAUUUAAUCAUUUUUAUUUGGAUACAGAUGAAAAAAUGCAUUUCAUAAACUACAUUAGCAGAAACAAAAGUACUGUGAUAAAAUACAUAUUGGAGUCAAGUAUAAACGCCAGUGGCUGGAGCUGUUGGGAAGCUCCAUGUUCCAAAAUAGUGUAUUGGUUUGCAGUGUCUUAGACACUGAACACUAUUUCCUAGUGAGCCUGUACUAAGUAGCAGAGGGAAGCUGACUAACUCCUCUUUUAAAGCCAAGUAAGCUGCUUUCACCAUGAGCACCCUACUUUCUUUCCUCAUGAGAGAAAUGUUUAUCUGGCAUCUAAUACAGAUUCCUCUCUACACUUCUGAAUGCUAAUUUAUCUUGGUCCAUAUACCCCAGCCAUUAUCAAAUAACUGUAAAUUGGUGUGUUUAAUUGAUGAGGAUUUAAGCAUUGUAGUUCUCAGCAUGUUUGAAGGGAAAGAAAAAAAACAAAGUAAAUCAACUUUCCUGGAGCCUCCCCUCUCAAGUCAACGACGUCAAAUUUCCAGGAAAAUGAAACAUAGAAUUUGCAGACCCAAUGAAAUCAGAGCAGCUUGAACUCUCCAGCAAGGUGGUGGGAACUUCUGAAGCUGAAAUUCAUUUUGAGACACAGCUUUGUACUCCAAGGAAUACUCAUAGUGCAAUUUUACAAAACACCGAAGGUGACCAGAGCACAAUUAAUUCACUGCUCAGCCCUGGAGGACUUUUGCUUUGCUUAGCAGGACUGAUGCAGAAUGCUGCACCCUCACAAGACCCUCAGAGUGAGGCAUAAGGACUUCAUGCAAGUUGCCAGGAUUCAUCCCAGGAAGAUGUAUUGAUUUUUGUACCCCUUGGUGAUUUUUCUC